rnacentral:rRNA from 1 species
CCUACGGGUGGCAGCAGUGGGGAAUAUUGGUCAAUGGGCGAGAGCCUGAACCAGCCAAGUCGCGUGAGGGAGUACUGCCCUAUGGGUUGUAAACAUCUUUUGUCGGGGAGCAAAAGCCGGACGUGUCCGGCUGUGAGAGUACCCGAAGAAAAAGCAUCGGCUAAAUCCGUGCCAGCAGCCGCGGUAAUACGGAGGAUGCGAGGGUUAUCUGGAUUUGUUGGGGUUAAAGGGUGCGCAGGCGGAGUUUUAUGUCAGCGGGAAAAUCGUGGGGCUCAACCCCAUCCCGCCGUUGAAACUGGGGAUCUAGAGUGUGCGAGAGGGAUGCGGAAUGCGUGGUGUAGCGGUGAAAUGCAUAGAGAUCAGGCAGAACCCCGAUGGCGAAGGCAGCAUACUGGUGCACAACUGACGCUCAGGCGCGAAAGCGUGGGUAUCGAACAGGAUUAGAUACCCUAGUAGUC